rnacentral:misc_RNA from 1 species
AUCUCCCCCCCACACACACACACACAUAUGCACACCCUCUCCCACAAAUUCCGUCUCCACAGUCCUCACGCACUCUCUGCGCUCGGGCGUUCUGUCCGUAUAUGUGUGUAGCUAGGCUGGCUUUCCUUUUUCGGUUUUAUGAGCUUGCGCAUGGUCCUCCUUUCGUGCUCUCGUUGUAAUUGUGCAUUGCCGUUGUCGCAUCAAGGCGACGGCUCGUGGGCGUGUAUGUGAGGCCGUUGCUUGACUCGCCGCCCUUCUCCCUGUCUCUUUUUUGUUUCCGGUGGCGUCUGUCAGCGCGACGGCUCCUAUUGGCAGGCCCUCUUCCCCCACGGCGCACUUCUCUGCGGUGGGGGCUUACGUAAGCGCCGCGAACGCAUGCUGUUGUGAAGGGAGGCUCCCACCGGGUCUUUGAGCAGGGUAGGCCUUCUGGCCACCUACAUGACUGCUGUAUAGUGUUUCGUUUUCCAUACACGGGUACACGUUGUGCGACUCGCUUCCUCUCGUUAUUCUUUCAAGGCGGUAUGGGUGCUCUUCCGCCUCUUCCCUGGCUGUGGCUGCAUUCAUGCAACGCAGCUCUCCCUCACUCCAUCUCCUCCGCUCUUUUCCGCCCCUUUCCUGGUCACGAGAUCACGCGGCAUGUGCUCCAUUGGGCAAAGCGAAUCUGCACGGGAGUCGACGGAGCAGAGGUCGCCGGUGCAACGCGGCUCCGUCACACAAACAAGCUCCACGUAGGAAUGCCAUCGCAUCAGGGAAACAGCGGCAGAGAGAGAUAGAGUCCGCGUCGAUGCUGGCAGGUCUUGUAUCCCUAUCGGAAGCACCUGUACACUCUUCACCACUAUUUCUCUUUAUGAAAAAAGAGGUAGGCGCAUCCAACUCUGUGGCACAUGAUACGCUCUACUAACCUCCUACUAACGCGGAAUAGGACACCUGCUGGGUCAGGAGAAAGACCCACGCUACGGCUGCUGCCUCUUCCAUGCUUUGCGUUACUUGCCGUUGCUAAGCUGCAUUCGUCUGUGCUGCUUCAGUCGCGUCUGGCGCUUCCACAUUCGCCAAGGCAAAUAGAAAGUCGCUUUUCUUGCCCCGUGUCCUCUUCCCCACCCCCGCGCUCUUUUAUGUGUGCGCGCAUGCGUGUCUGCUUGUUAUUAUAUCCGUAGCGAGAGAUCUGGUCCUCCUCGCACAUGGGCCUCUCUCUUCCUCUCCUUCGCCUCGGGGCUGCGCAAGCCCUUCUCCUCUUCCCCGGGUGCUGCGGCGCCCUCUGCAAUGAUUCGGGGAUCUCCGUCUUGCCGUCGUUCUCGCUGUCGCUUCUUUGUUCUUCACCGGCUUUGGCUCUCCGCUGCUGCCUGAAGGCUUUCUCUCCUCUUCAGAGGUCAGCGCACCACCGAGAAGUACGAUGCGGAGCUAAGCAAGGCGGCGGAGUCGUGCCGCCCUCUGUGCUCCACCCUGAACGCAUGUGGCACAGAGUGGCGCGAGCACAUGCACACCCCAAAACAAUGUGCCCAGUACUGCGGAGCUGCGCCACUGCUGCGGCCUUCUCGCAAAGUGGCUUAGGGAGCGCAGCUUCCGUCUGUGUGCGCGUCAGACCUCCAUAACUGCCCCCCCCUUCUUGCACAUUCUCUCGCCUCUUCCGCCGCCACCGCGCACGCCCUCGCGUGGGUCUCUGUGCGCGUGUCAGGGAGGGGCGCUGUCUUCAAUGGUCGACCCUAUGCUCCGUUUGUCCUGAUUUCAUGCGUACCGCCCAGUUUUUCUUCCCCUCCCUCCCCCCCCCGUGUCGAAUCGGUGCUACUGUUCGUCCCGUCGCUCUUCCUUUCCGGCCUUCUUCAUUGCUUUACGUUUCUCAUCUUCCCGCGUAG